rnacentral:rRNA from 1 species
UACGGAAGGCAGCAGUGGGGAAUAUUGCACAAUGGGCGCAAGCCUGAUGCAGCCAUGCCGCGUGUAUGAAGAAGGCCUUCGGGUUGUAAAGUACUUUCAGUCGUGAGGAAGGUGUUAAGGUUAAUAACCUUAGCAAUUGACGUUAGCGACAGAAGAAGCACCGGCUAACUCCGUGCCAGCAGCCGCGGUAAUACGGAGGGUGCGAGCGUUAAUCGGAAUUACUGGGCGUAAAGGGCACGCAGGCGGUUAAUUAAGUUGGAUGUGAAAUCCCCGGGCUUAACCUGGGAAUGGCAUUCAAGACUGGUUAGCUAGAGUCUUGUAGAGGGGGUAGAAUUCCAUGUGUAGCGGUGAAAUGCGUAGAGAUGUGGAGGAAUACCGGUGGCGAAGGCGGCCCCUGGGCAAAGGCUGACGCUCAUGUGCGAAAGCGUGGGGAGCGAAACAGGGAUUAGAUACC